CCUUCGGCAGGUCGAGCUCGAGCUCCAUCUCUCCUCCCUCGCCACCUAUGUUGAAUCUACCACUCACCAGUCGCUGCCGAGUCUCCGUCUCUCAGUCUCACCGUCGACGACACGCAGCACGCCAGCAGCUCGACGCAACGUCCCGUGGUCCUGUCGAGUUCGACGACGCCGACACGCGAGUUGCCCUUGUUCUCCCCUUCUAGUCUCGUCCUCGUCUGAUCUACUCCUUCUUCUCCUUUUCCUCUCCAUCGCCUCUAACUCUGGCGAUAGCGAGAUAAAUGACGGCAAGGACAACAAUGAUGAGUGAAUGAAGGGAGGCGACGAUGAGCAAAUGAGCUAUGGCAAAGAUGGCAAUGACGAUUAUUUUGGGUUCGAUUUCCCCCCUGACUCGUCUUCCUCUUCCUUGGAUUUCUGGUUCAAGUAUUUCAAGUUAUUCCUACCAAAGUCAUUUGGUAAAGACCCAUUAAGCAAAUUCGAAGACAUAUCUACAUUAUAAACAGAGUGAAACCAGAGUUGUAUUGUCUCAAGACCUUCUACGAAAAAGGUAGGUUCAAUGUAUUGUUUACGGGCUCUGGCAAAGAAGCUUUUUAGAUUGAUAAUUCUAAAUGCUAGUUUUCCAUAUCCUACAUUAUGUUUUGCUUUAUAUUUGUAUUUUGGGUUUUCAUAUAACUUGAAACAACUAUCAAAAUUCGUAUAUUGCUUUAUGCGAAUGGUGGGUGGUUUAGGUGGGGGAAAUGUUAGGAGGGCAAAGGGUUAUACGCUUGUACUGUAUGAUAAAAUAUAUACUAAAAUAAAAAGUUUAGAGUUCAGCUUUCAUGAAUUAUGAAAGACAAAAGAGUGUCACUGUGUAGCACCCUUACUAUCUGCUAAGAUUAGUCAGCCCGCCAUAACCGUCAGCUUUCGAUCUUAUUGGCCUCUUUUUAACCGUUUAGGUUCCUCUUAAAAGCUUGUCUUUUUGAAUUAAUCAAAUGGCUUUGAGAGGGGUUUGGCAACUACAGAAACUAAUUGCAAGCUAUUGUGAUUGGGGUGGAAGUAGCAGAGGAAUAAGGUAUACUUCUCAAUAUAUAAUUUCAAGUUUUGUUUUGCAUUUUAAUCAAGGUUUAUUUGUUUGUAGCGUUUUGUGCAAAAUUAGUUGCAAGGGUGAAUUUAAAUACUGCUGUAUCCAGCAUGCCAUUAUAUAUGUUAUAUUGCUCUCAUGAUCUGUUUUUUUCAUUUUACGAUAAUAAGUGUGUUGUACUUUUAUUGUUCACAUUUUUAUUAGGUAUAGUAGUUAGAGGUUACCAAUUUUGAUAUAUUCAAAAACACAUUUUUCUUGUUAACUAAAUAAUACAAUUUUUUUUUUGAUACAAAUUAAGAGCUUAAAAUCAUCAUGGUCACCCACUAAUUUUUAAUCACAAGAUUGACUCAUCACUAGGGUGCUACAUUUGAAUUUGAGGUGUUUGAACGAAGACAAUUUAUGAUACUCGCUUGAGCUAUUGGGUGAAAGACCAUAGAGAAAGAAUGCUAAGUGAUUCACUAUUGUGGUAAUUUAAGUAAUCAAUGGUUGUUACUGUUUUGGUAUAUUCUACAUUACUUAUAUCAUUUUGUCCUUUUGUUUGGUUUCUUCCUUUCUUUAUUCUUUAGUGCUUCUCUAUAAGGUACUUAAAUAAAAUUACAGGGAAGAAUUGCUGCUUCAAUAAUUUACGUGUGGAUUUUUAUCUUCAAUAUGAACCUCACCCGUCAUCCUCAAAAAACUUGCACCAUCUAUUCCAAAGUAAGCUUCGUUUACUUUCCAUUUGGCAUCCUCCUAUGGCCAUCAUGUUAUGUCUGUUUGAAAUUUGUGUGGCUGCUAGUUUUAAAUAGCCUUAAAACUGUCAUUUGUAUUUGAAGUCUAAUACCGUUGCUCUUUUUCUUACCAAUUACUACUAUGUAUUAUCUUAA